rnacentral:rRNA from 1 species
GAUGAACGCUGGCGGCGUGCCUAAUACAUGCCAGUCGAGCGAACAGACGAGGAGCUUGCUCCUCUGACGUUAGCGGCGGACGGGUGAGUAACACGUGGAUAACCUACCUAUAAGACUGGGAUAACUUCGGGAAACCGGAGCUAAUACCGGAUAAUAUAUUGAACCGCAUGGUUCAAUAGUGAAAGACGGUUUUGCUGUCACUUAUAGAUGGAUCCGCGCCGCAUUAGCUAGUUGGUAAGGUAACGGCUUACCAAGGCAACGAUGCGUAGCCGACCUGAGAGGGUGAUCGGCCACACUGGAACUGAGACACGGUCCAGACUCCUACGGGAGGCAGCAGUAGGGAAUCUUCCGCAAUGGGCGAAAGCCUGACGGAGCUACGCCGCGUGAGUGAUGAAGGUCUUCGGAUCGUAAAACUCUGUUAUUAGGGAAGAACAAAUGUGUAAGUAACUAUGCACGUCUUGACGGUACCUAAUCAGAAAGCCACGGCUAACUACGUG